rnacentral:rRNA from 1 species
CCUAGCGCACUUUGUGGCGAAGUUAACGCGAUAAGUCGACCGCCUGGGGAGUACGGCCGCAAGGUUAAAACUCAAAUGAAUUGACGGGGGCCCGCACAAGCGGUGGAGCAUGUGGUUUAAUUCGAUGCAACGCGAAGAACCUUACCUACUCUUGACAUCCUGCGAACUUGUGAGAGAUCACUUGGUGCCUUCGGGAGCGCAGAGACAGGUGCUGCAUGGCUGUCGUCAGCUCGUGUUGUGAAAUGUUGGGUUAAGUCCCGUAACGAGCGCAACCCUUGUCCUUAUUUGCCAGCGGGUAAUGCCGGGAACUCUAAGGAGACUGCCGGUGACAAACCGGAGGAAGGUGGGGACGACGUCAAGUCAUCAUGGCCCUUACGAGUAGGGCUACACACGUGCUACAAUGGCCGGUACAAAGGGUUGCGAGCUCGCGAGAGUCAGCUAAUCCCGAAAAGCCGGUCUCAGUCCGGAUCGGAGUCUGCAACUCGACUCCGUGAAGUCGGAAUCGCUAGUAAUCGUGAAUCAGAAUGUCACGGUGAAUACGUUCCCGGGCCUUGCACACACCGCCCGU